rnacentral:rRNA from 1 species
GACGAACGCUGGCGGCGUGCUUAACACAUGCAAGUCGAACGGAAAGGCCCUGCUUUUGUGGGGUGCUCGAGUGGCGAACGGGUGAGUAACACGUGAGUAACCUGCCCUUGACUUUGGGAUAACUUCAGGAAACUGGGGCUAAUACCGGAUAGGAGCUCCUGCUGCAUGGUGGGGGUUGGAAAGUUUCGGCGGUUGGGGAUGGACUCGCGGCUUAUCAGCUUGUUGGUGGGGUAGUGGCUUACCAAGGCUUUGACGGGUAGCCGGCCUGAGAGGGUGACCGGCCACAUUGGGACUGAGAGACGGACCAGACUCCUACGGGAGGCAGCAGUGGGGAAUAUUGCACAAUGGGCGGAAGCCUGAUGCAGCAACGCCGCGUGCGGGAUGACGGCCUUCGGGUGGUAAACCGCUUUCGCCUGUGACGAAGCGUGAGUGACGGUAAUGGGUAAAGAAGCACCGGCUAACUACGUG